GGUCACCAUCUCAAGGUGACAUUUGGAUCUUACUGCCCACCCAAGAAGGACGGCUAUCUGCUGGCGACCUCACCCAGAAAGUCUAGCCAUCAGAAGGUCAACGAGUGUAUCUCACAUGCCGUUAUAAGCUGCUGCUGCCGUCCCACUCGUCGAUGCGUGGAGGCAUGUCUGCCAUCAUCUGCCGUUCCAAUAGCUCUCGCCAGUGUUGCGUUGGGGUGUACACUGCAUCCUUAUUAGCUAUUUUGUCAUAGGGUGCUCUUGUGGAGGUGAUUUGUC
rnacentral:misc_RNA from 1 species